UUAUGAAUAUGCUUAGCCUUAAAUAUGUGUUUAAUUUGUUGCAGCCGUUACUGAUAUUGAUACCAGUGGCAUCCAUGCCCUGGAAGAGUUAUAUAGAAGUCUUCAAAAGAGAGAAGUUCAGGUAACAAAAGAUGAAUAAAUAAAUUAUUUUCAUAUAAUGCAUGUUUUGAUUGAUGCCAGUGGCAUGUUUUGAUUCAUGUUUUGGAAUAUGCAUGUUAUGAAAGUAAGUUGAAAACAUCGUCUUAAUGCAUGUUUUGAUUCGCGGUGAGUUUUGCAGAAUCUUAGCGGCUUGGCUCACCGUGAUUUUGUCCUACCCACCGUGAUUCUAAACAUGCACUUAUAGACACAUUAAUGUCAUAUAUUGUUUUCAUAAGAUCUCGCAAAUAGUGUCGCAAUUGCUUAUAUCAUUGUCGAUAGAUAAAUUAAAUUAAUUCAAUUCAAAUUCAAAAUGCCCUAUAUAUAUUUGUAUGUUAACAACAUUUCUAAACAAUAUAAUAUAAGGUAACAAUUAUAGAUAUCUUAACUAAAAAGGUACCUCUUUCUUGAGCAGCUUGUUCUUGCAAAUCCUGGUCCACUAGUGAUAGACAAACUCCACACAUCCAACUUUGCAAACUUUCUUGGUGAAGACAAGAUCUUCCUAACUGUUGCAGAGGCUGUUGCAUACUGUUCUCCAAAGCUAGCUGAAGACCCUUGAAUGAAAUAGUGUGGAAAAUUUUGAUUUUACCAUUCUUAGUAUAUAGGAAAAUGUCAUUAAGAAAUGAAGUAAGGUUAGUGAGAAGAGACAUGUUUGGCUUUCAGCUGGGUUAGCUAUGAGGUUGUUACAAAGUGGCCUUUUUUGUUGG
rnacentral:lncRNA from 1 species